CUUUUUACUGCUGCUCCCCAAGCCCUCCACUGUCCUCUGCCACAAGCAGCUCGUCGUAAAACAGCCCUUAGCAAAGUUAAUAGUUGUGGCAUUAUGGAAAUCAAAGUCAUUUGCAUGAUUUCCUUCAUGGCCCGAAUCCAUAGCUUCCAGCUGGCACCCGCAAUCCUUCCUAAGAAGAUGGAUGUCUUUGAGCCAGGCCUGUCAUUUGCUGAGGCAAACAUGUGCCGUGCAGUGCCUGCAGAGUGGGGUCUGGGGAAGCUGCCCGAAAAUAAAUGAUGGCCGACAGCAACUUAACGGAAACUUUGGAAGCAGGAUAAUGAGAAGCAAGGCUGAUUUUGUUCUCUUCCUACAAACAGCAUUUGGUCUUCAGUGUUAUCUCUGUAAGAGGGAAAUAAAUAGAAAGUCACAAUCUGUCUCUUUGGCAAGAUGAAGAGCUUGUGUCAGAAAUGGACUGGAUGUGUUUAAGAGGUCAAGAAAGAAGAUGUCCUUUCUGAAAUGGAUUGAAAUCUCCAGGGCUCUUUGAAGCCUCUUGCCAUUCCUUUUGAACAGAUGUUGA